rnacentral:rRNA from 1 species
CCUACGGGAGGCAGCAGUGGGGAAUAUUGGGCAAUGGGCGCAAGCCUGACCCAGCAACGCCGCGUGAAGGAAGAAGGCUUUCGGGUUGUAAACUUCUUUUCUGAGGGACGAAGAAAGUGACGGUACCUCAGGAAUAAGCCACGGCUAACUACGUGCCAGCAGCCGCGGUAAUACGUAGGUGGCAAGCGUUAUCCGGAUUUAUUGGGUGUAAAGGGCGUGUAGGCGGGAAAGCAAGUCAGAUGUGAAAACUCAGGGCUCAACCCUGAGCCUGCAUUUGAAACUGUUUUUCUUGAGUGCUGGAGAGGCAAUCGGAAUUCCGUGUGUAGCGGUGAAAUGCGUAGAUAUACGGAAGAACACCAGUGGCGAAGGCGGAUUGCUGGACAGUAACUGACAUUGAUGCUCGAAAGUGUGGGUAUCAAACAGGAUUAGAUACCCGGGUAGUC